AGCGGUUGUUAUUGAGCGUCUCGGUCCAGUCUAGCUGUUCUCAUCCGGACACCCAUGAGACUCAGGCAGGCACCGUAAAAGCUUUACAGUGGGCUAGAAGGCUAUCUACAGAACUUCUGAUGGUGACGACACUCGGCGGGGCAAUUGUAGGAUUGUAAACAGUGCGCUUUUAGACAGUGUUCUUAAAUGGAUGGAGACGUCAUGGACCUCAGAGGAACACAAUAACAUUUGGAAAGUUUCACCAAAUGCCCUCUUGGUACUCAGAUGACUUUUUAAUCUAGGCGGCAAUUCUGAUUUCGUUUUCACAUUUUCAGAUUUCGUUUUUUUUUAUGAUUCCAUUGUGCCACAGAGAGAAUGACCGCUUUCACCCCGUGCAUAAAUUAACUGAAUUAUUGUACGAGCUACUGCGUGGAGACAAGUUAAUGUUUAACUUCUGAGUUCUUAGAUUUCUUGGUGGGGGGCCAACGCGAACUGGAAAUGGGAGCGUGCCUUUGCUGUGCCUUGUAAGUUUUUACAGCCUGGUGCCAAGGGACAACAACAACAACAACAUGGGUAGCGGUAGUAGUCGAGGAAAGAAGGUUGCUCCUUCCAGUGUCAACGAGAUAAACUCAUUCAGAAGAGAUGACAACACAGUCCACGUUUUGAAAGAGGAAAGACACUUGUUCAAACCAUUGAAAAUAACCAAAUCUACGAAUUUAAGUCAGUCACGAAAUAGAGCGCAACACGACUGCCACAGUGAAGGACACGAUUCUGAAUUUUCCGUAGAGGAUGAUGACAUUGAUGUGGAACUGAAUCGAGUUCUACAGGAAUAUGACAAUCGGGAAUUGCGUUCCAAGAGGAAAACGUAUCAAACGAAACCUUUCAUCAGGUCUAAUACAUAUGGGUUAUGUCAUUCCAGUCGAGUCCACAAUGAAAGCGUUUUCAAUUCAACCCCACACUGGCAGAGUUCUGAAUUGUCGGAGGGGAGUGGGGCAUGUUGUCCAGAUAACGGUUCUGUUGGAGUCAAGGACAAGAAAGGCAUCCCAGUCUUCAACCAGUUUUGCAAAAAUACACAAAUUCAGUUCUCAAGCGGCGCUCAGGAAAAUGACUUGUUGACAACGGGGUCAGCUUGUGUGGAGUCAGUGCCUCGAGCAGAAACAGACUCCCUCCUCUUCACCCAUCUCCUCCUGACCACAGCUGUCAGCGUGCUACAGAACACUGUACAGGAAAUGACAUGGCUGCCAUCAGGAGGCGGCACUCCACGUGCUCACUCGUCAGGGACACCCGAGGAAGUGGAAGAACUGGUGCCCGUGGCCGAUCACGCCCUGGGAAGGAACACUCAGAAAUGGAGAGGAAAAGCAGAACGCUGCCAAGUGGAACAGCAACACCUGUGUGUGAUAUCAGUG
rnacentral:lncRNA from 1 species